rnacentral:lncRNA from 1 species
CAACACUCCAAGCCAACAGCCACCACCUACCGCUGCACCACUCCUCCAUGAACCUCCACGCCUAGGCAUCAUCCAUUUUCACUUCUCAGUUGUUAGCCCUUGGCGCGUGGCUUCUUUCCAUCUCCACUCUCCAGUGUCACUGUCACAACUCAUAAAGCACAACCUAUAGCCAUGUUCGCACAGCCACAGUCUCCAUCGUCGCCUUCUUAGCCAUCAUCGCUCCACCAUCACAGCCACGAGGUAUUGAUUUUUGACUUCUCAAUUUUCUCUUUUAAAAAAAAAUGAUGAAACUCUUAUUAUUAUUAUUAUUAUUAAUGUUGGAUGUAAUUUGGAGAUUAUUGUGUUGAUGAGUUGAACUUAUGUCGGAUAUUAUUUGCUAAUUACUGUGCUGCUGAAAUUAAAUAUUUGAUAAAUAAUUGAAUGAGUUUAUAUUGAAGAUUAAAUUAAUUAAGUAGGUUAGAAAUUUAAAUUUUGGCACUGUUACAUUUUUUUUUCAGUUCAUAUCUACGCAAGGGAAAUCCAAAUAAAAACCCAUGUUUGGGAGUUUUCGGGCUUGACCCGGCCAGGAUGUGAAAAAACUAGGCACGAAAUCGGGUCUAGAUAGCAAUUAUAUCGAUUCGGGGCCGAUGCCUGGUAAGUCUAAACUCCACCUGGACCCGAGGUUUUGCCAACCCUAAUAUUUGUAAUGAAACAUUCAAGUUAACCGGCGCCAAAAGCUUGAACUUGAAAAAUCCAUGGUGUGUGGUAGUGAAUCACAUAUCAAUGGAUUUCUUUUGUUCCUUUCUUUUGUUAUUUAUUAAUUGACGUGAGACGGUCCAGAAUAAUUGUAAGGUAGAUUUUUGAGUUACCACUUAAUUAGUAGAUUUUUAGGAUGCUUUACAAAUAUGUGUAUCUAGAAUUAUCCUAAAUUUCAUAUCCUAAUUUAUAUAUAGAAAUUUCAUAUCCUAAUUUUUAUGUAGACGUAACAAUUCAAAAUAAAAGUUAACAUGUAAAAAAAUUAAAUUAACAAUUCAAAAUAAAAGUUAACAUGUAAAAAAAAUUAAAUUUCUAAGAAAAUAUGAUUUUUUUUUCCAUUUUUAUUAUGGUUUGUUAGUAAUUGAUUAUGUCUCAAGAAAGGGUUGGGCAAAAUAUCCGAUUCAAUUUAACCCGACCGGAUUUGAUCUGAAAAAUAUCGGGUUUGGAUCGGAUCGGCUUCUUAACAAAAUUUGAUCGGAUGCAUUUUUGCCAACCUAAUCGGAUCACAAACCGAUCUGGUUGGCUUUAAAAUUUAAAAAAAAAUGAAUGAAAUUGAAAACUAAACCUAUAGACAUGCACAACCUCCCUCUCCCUCAAGCCUCAACUUAGAAUUAUAAAUACACGUGCAUCAUAAACAAUUAACACAAAACCAUAAAAAAAAAACAAACAAAUCUUGGUCCACACACAUCACAAACAAUUCACACAAAACACAAUCAUAAACAAUUCACACAAAACACAAUCAGGUCAACACAUCAUGAUCCACAAUCCACUCACCCUCUCUCACUCUCUUAUUCUCUACUCUUCACUCUUCACUCUUCACGCUUGUUGAUCGUUCGUUGUUGCUCACAGUUGGGUUUCUCAUACACAUCACAAAUCGACACACGGACGCAACAUGUCUAUCGAUUCGACACAACAUAGCCACCACUGACCAUCAUUUCCAAUCCGACAUGUAGAUCAUCAUUUGCAGAUGCAGACACCAGAUAUGCUGCUAUCAAAUCUACCGCUACAACACUCUCUACCAUCACCAAGUUCCUUCAAGCUCUACUCUAACUCGAAUUCUCCAACCCACCGAAUUUGUGUGUUUUGAAAUUUUGAUGUUGUAUAGUAAUUUUAAUGUAAAUUGCAAUUGCUGAAUGUUACGUUCAGAGUCCGCCUAAUCUUUUGCACGACCUAGAUGACCACAUAUUCCUAUUGGACGUUAUGCGGGACCACUCAUAGAAAGAUUUCCAAGGAAACGACGAAAGCCAUACAAGCGGAGGCUUGAUUAAGACGGGACUCGGGGGAGUUGUGUUCUUUAACACAGGACAACCAUGUUCAUAAAAUUAUCUGGCUUGUUGGGUGACCUUGGGUUUACAUUAUAGAUGACUGUUGAGGACAUUGGGAAUAAAUUUUUCACCGACUCGAAUUGACCCUAUUGACCCAAACUUAGGAAUAAGAUUCCUUAGGAAUAAAAUGUGUUGUGAAUAGUAAAAUAAGAUUUCUUAGGAAUAAGAUGUACUGAGUCAUGUAAUAUAAAGUAGUGGUGAGUCAUAAAGUAAUAUCCCUUAAAGAUAAGAUGUAAUAAUAAAAGAAAAUUCCCUUAGUGCCUAUAAAAGGGGACUCCCAAUAUGUGUAUGGAUCAUCGGGUCUUGUAAUCUACCUAGUCUUGUAUUCUCUUUUCUCUUGUAAGAAAAUCUUUCUUAAUAGUAUUUUCUAAUAAAAUUCGCGUAAACCAUACAAAGACAUAAAACAGUGAUGAGUCAUAAAUUAAGAUUCCUUAGGGAUAAGAUGUAGUAAUAAAAGAAGAUUCCCUCAAUACCUAUAAAAAGAUACUUUGAGUAGGUGUAUGAAUCAUUGAGCCUUGUAAUCUACUUAGUCUUGUAUUCUCUUCCCUCUUGUAAAAAAAAAUCUUUCUUAGUAGUAUUUCCAUGCUUCUAGUCUAUUAGCAAGCUCAUGAUCUUCAUCUUCUAGAGCAUCAUCUAGUAAUUGUUCUGGUUGUGGCCAUUGGUCAUUAUUAAGCCAAUUAUCCAAUCCUGCAAACUGGUCUUGCCUGUCAUCCAUUUGGGGUAGUUCCCAUAGAUAAAUAUCUUAUGUCCUUUCAAGUCGACAUAUCUACUGUGUGUGAACUGCUAAUAUAUAUAUAAUUCUCAGAUGCAGACGCCCGUAAUUUUUUUUUUUAAUACGGAUACACUUUUAAACCGCGCGAUUUAAAAGAGUUAGUUAUUGAAUGAACUAUAAAAUUGUACAGUUUUAAAGAGUUAAAACCCAACUCUCUUAAAUUCCGCGGUGUUAAAGUAUGUUCGCAUGAAAAAUAAAUGAGGGCGCCCGCACUAGAAAAAGACUGUAUAUAUAGGCUUGGCAAUUUAAGGGCUUGGGCCGGGCUUUGCUAAGCCUUGGCCCAAGCCCUUAUACUUUGUUAAGAACCCAGGCCCUCUCAAAGCCCGCCCAAUCUGGACGGGCCAGGGCCGGGCUGGGCCUUGGCGGGCCUAGGCCAGACAAGGGCCAGGCCUGGGCUUUUAAACUAAUUUUUUAAAUAAAACUAUAAAUUCUAAAAACAUAAUUAUUCAACACAUAAUGUUACAAUAGACUAAAAAAUUUAAAAAUAAUUCUCCAAUACAUAAUUAGGCAACAUAAAAUAAAUCAUUAACCAACAGCACAAUAUUAUUCAACAUUUUCUACAAUACCAUAAUAUUCUUCAUAGCUCAAAAUCAUAAUAUUCUUCACAAUAUUCUUCAACGGAUUAACCAAUUACAUAUAUUUAUGCCUUGCUGUGAACUCAUAUUACAUAAUCAACAUUCUGGUGAUGUCCUCAUAUUACAUAAUAUUGUAUUGAUAAUACAAUAAAAAAAAGUUUGAAGCUUAAUUGAGGAGGAGUACCAGACCGGAGUUGGAUGGUUUGCUACCUCGCUACUGGUGUGCUUUGAAUUUGCGUACUACAGACUGCAAAUCGCUGCUGCUGCCUCGCUCAAGUUCAAGUGCUUGCUGCAGCGUCGCGCGUCUGUGCUGGUGGGUAGGGGUUGCUGCUGCGUCGCGCGAGAGAUGCUAGGUGGCUGGAGCUGGACGGUGGGUUGCGCGGGAUGGCGGGAGAUGCUCGCCGCUGCUGCUGGCUGAGUGGUGGCUGCUGGAGUGCUGGUGGUGGAUGCUCGUCACUCACUGCUGGAUGUUGUUGGCCCUGCUGUUGACUGCCGGCGGGGAGUGAGAAGUUGAGGUGACGAUGAGUGAGGGAGGGAGGGAGGAAACGAGAGAUUUAGGGAUUUUAACUUUG